AUCCCGGAUCUCCAGGAUGACGCCCUGGGCUGAAGGCAGACGCUUAACCACUGAGCCACCCAGGAGCUGAACUUGGACCUGAACAUCAGGCAGAGUCGGACACCUGACCAUGGAAAACCAAUCAGCUUGGGCAGCCCCGGUGGCCUAGCAGUUUAGCACUGCCUUCAGCCCAGGCUUUCUUUUUCUUGGCGCAGACUCCCUGAUUAGUGUGGAACCUAUGUGUGGCUCGAUCCCAGGACCCGAGGCGAUGACCUGAGGGGAAACCAAGAGUGGUCACUCAACCGACUGAGCCACCCAGGCUCCCUUCUAUUAGGUUUGCAGUAAGCAUUGGCUACUGGCAAGACCCUCACAUCCAGCAUUUUGCAAGACUGUCUAAGGAGAGAAGGCUCCCGAAAUUAACAGAGGCA